GUGCGGUUUAUGUGGAUCGAACACAUGACCUUCAGAUAUCGAAUGAUUGAAGUUUGACUUCAGUCUGACGCUCUCCCAACUGAGCUAAACCCGC
rnacentral:tRNA from 1 species